AUUUAUGUGAGAAGUUUUUUUAAAAACUUGAACCUAUGCUUUUCAUGCUUCACUUGUGAUCUUUCCAAAGCAACAUGAGGGUUGUGUGUCCCAGCCUAAGGUUUAUAAACAAACACACACAGAGACUCCAACUGUCACGAUCCUUUCAUGCAAGAAGUGGAUCAUUGAUCCCGGGAUCAAAUGUAGUCUGUUCCUCAUGACUCCAAGCGGCAUCUGUAAUCCCUGAUUUCUUCUAUAUUUCUCAUGGCGGGGACUCAGCGCUCUGCAUCCAUGCUCACACUUCAAAGCAUUCCUUUCAUGUGUGUUUUGAGUAAGUAUGUGAAUAUCACUUGCAUACGUGUUGCAGUGGUGGCAUUGUUGACAGAAUCAGAGGUAGGCAUAAGGUUGUGGCAGUCAAUAAAAAUAUAGAAAACACUGCACUGCACUUUGUAAAUGUUAAAUAAGCAAUUAAAGACUCAAAAGAAUGCAUUGCUUGGUUUAGAGUCAAAGACUGAAUCUAAUUAGCUUGAUGAGAGACAACAUAUGCUUGUAAGCAGUCAUACUGACUGUACUGCAGCAUAUUGUGAAAUCUAACCUGAUGUUUUUCUGAUCAGCUACAAUGAGGUAAAGAAGGCCCAGAAGACGCAAUGACCAGUUGCCCUACAAUGUUUGCAAAAGAUCAAAAGAGCCUGCUGAACACCAUUUUGAUCCUGAUCCUUUGUGCUCAAGGUGGCUCCAUCCAGAAACCUGCAAGUCAGCAAUGUGAACCAUUUCCAGUACCGUCGUGCUUGGUAUGCAGACAUGUUUUCUAGCAUGAUUGGUUUAAAAUGUAUGUGCAUUUAUUUCUGCAUACGUCGCUGAUGCAUAUGCCAAUAUAUUAAAGCACUCCAGAGGAAAGGAUUGGAUCUAACCUUAACCCAUUAGACAGAGAAAAAUACAGCAUGUCAUGACAGAUUACCGUCAAAAGGGCAAGCAAGACAGCACUUUUCUUUCAGUGCUAAAGACGGGCUAAAUAGCAACAAGGGGGGAAAAUAUAAGAAAAUCUGUAGUCCGCUUAGGCCCUAGCCCAUCGGCCCUAAACAGACAACUGUGGUUAAGCCAUUUUCAAGCUCUAAUCUUUUAAUAAGAUUAUAAAAUAGUGAAAUAUGUUUACGCAUUACUAGUCAUAAUUACAUGUCUUGUCAUAUUUGAGGAACUGAUAAAUAUGCCCUGAGUCCACAAUCUUACAUAUUAAUUUGAAUUUGUGCUUAAUGUGCAUAAUUGAUUGUAUGGCGUGGUAAAUAGAAAAAAAAAAAGUAAAAAAAAUAAAAAAUAGGAACAAGACUGCAUGUCUUAUAGCAGCAUGUGGACAGUGAUACAGUAUAUGAAAAAUUCAGUGUUAGUAAUUACUUUCUAAUUUUUCUAUAUCUCUCUAUAUCAAUCUAUCUAUACAUAGUAUGUAUUAAAAUGCAGCGGUGGCUUUACAGUAGCACAUUACAGGCCUAAAACUGCACAAUAAUCCUCUUUAUUAAAAUAACUGUAGUGAAGCAGUAAUUCACACCAAUUCCCAACUGUUUGUGUGUACUGUAUAUUCCAUUAAUUAAGCAAGCUAUAGCUUACUCUACAGUUAAAUCACUUUGACUGUCUGACUUGAGAUAUUGUUUCUGCUCUUUAGAUGUAGAGCAAGUACACAGCAUAGAGUGCACCUGUCAGAAACGCAGGGGCUA